UAGUAUUUUUCCUCUUGUUUC
rnacentral:piRNA from 1 species